rnacentral:sRNA from 1 species
ACAUCCUGUACUGGUUAACAGACAAACACGAACAUCUGAAGAAGCAGGACGGGAGUUAGGCUUUGGGGCCUGGGGACCUGAACUCAGUUUUGAUGUUUCCUGCAAGGCGGAACUUGUUCCUGAGAUGACUGAACUCAGGAAGCCACCUCUGACCCGGAGAGACGCUGGUAGUGCUUCUUCACAGAGUGAAACAAGAUGGGAGACGCGUGAGGCACUGUAAGCCUACAGUCGCCUUUUCCGAAACCACCUUAGCAAUUUAGUACUCUUCCUUCUCCUUCUCACUGGUGAGAAUCAUGUGGAAAUGUUACAGGCCCGGUCCCUAUGCCUUCCCCAGCCAAAUGAGACUCGCAUAAUGACGUCUAAGAGAAGACUGAUAUAAGAAGGCGUUAAUGCCCAAGCUGUCUUAAGGUGACACGAUAUGCACCUUCCUGUUUUCCUCACCUUCUACACUGCUCCGGAUACCUCAGACACCUAGCUUUGCCCGCUCUGGUUCCCUUCUGCUGCAUCUCCAGGGUAACAAGGGCAGAAGAAAUGUACAUUUACAUGGAUGCUCCCAUUCCCUGAACAAAUAAUGCUUUAUAUACCCAUAAGCUCUUUCAUUCAUGCACUUGACUACUUUUGAUGCAACAUAAAGUUAGGAACCAGGAACAUGCCAGUGCUUUCUUGUCCUUGGAAAGUCUUCCUACUUCAAGAGGAAACCCUAAGACAAUGCCAACUGGAUAUAGUACGUGGACCAAGUACGUGUGGGUGUCCCUGCAGGCAGAUUUGGAACCGUCCUCUUCAUCUGUAUCCCUCGCCUUCCCAGUCGUCUUCACAGAGCAAGUCGAUGCUGAGACAAAUCAAACCUGAGCUGCUCCCUUCAGACUUCUUCCUGUUCACAGAGGUGUCAGCUCACAUCCUGGGCUCUUAAAAUACAUCUGAAUGCUGGUGCAGAGAAGAACUUCAGCAGGGCUCUUGGCAACUCAGAGGCAACAGCAAUGUACUCCUGGUUUAGAUUAGUUGGUGAGGCAGCCCUUGUCCUGAAAUAAACAUUAUCGACCACCCUCAUUGCUAAUUCAUCAUCCUCCUCUGCCCAGCUGGACCUGGCUUGAAGGGUGACAAGCAAAGCUUCAGGUGGAGAUGGUGGGCUAUUUGGUUUGUGUGAUCAACAGAGGUCUCCAACCUCAGCGGAAUGUGACAGCCACUGAUGACUUCGAAGACAGGUUGGGGUCACUCAGAGAAGAUUGUCCCAGCCUUACUUGGUAGCAACGUUGGAAGCAAGACCAUACAAUGGGAGAACUGGGCUGUAGCUAAUCAAUGGAAUCGACCCAGCUAAAGAAAUAACACGUCCAGCACAAUAAAUGUGGUCAACACAGGAUAGAGCAGUGUCCACAGGGACGAGGGAAUCAUGAGCGCCGGGCUCUGUUCAUCAACAGCGACCGAGCUGUGCAAUCGGAGAGCACUGAUCCCUCCAGGUGUUGCACUUUGGUGGGGGACGAAGCGUCGCCUUCAUUUAACAUUGCAGUCAGGCAGCCAGCCAGCUGCCUCUGCUUGCUCUCAUUCCAGCUCACCCGGCUGUCUUCUGAUGAUAAUUUGACUUCCCACCUAAAUCUCACCACAGGGAGAGAGUGUGCUCCAGGCAGAAGGUGUGUCUGAUCUCGGGGGCUGACUUUGCUUGUCGAUAUAAAUUAAUAAAAAUGGCAUUUUGAUUUACACAUCCCUCUCUUGUGAACUUGGUUAGCACGACAGAGGGCCCGAUAAACUGAUCUUACCUCGGUAUGCUGACAAAACCAAUUUUCCCUGUUUCUGAACCUGAAAGACUCGGGGCCAGACACUGGGCUAUAGUUAAAUCACCAAAGUAAAUUCAGCUUUGAAGCAUCUGGCAGCCAGGCAGCCUGCCUUCUAUUUCCUAUCAAACAUCCCUCUCCUGGCCUUUAUUUUUCAAGGUCAACACCAUGUUCAGUGUCCACUCAGAUUCUGUGGGAACAGACUUGGGAAACGGGGAACUUGUAUGGAUCCAAAGCUAUCCAGCCAAUGUUUUGAC